AUCCAUUAGGAACAUCUACCAGGGCUUCUCCCCAUAGCUCCCUCUCUCUUUCAUUCUUGAGACAGAAUUGCUUGUCUCGCGUAUCCCAGAUGAGACUCUCAAACACACUCUUGUAACACAGCUGCAGAUGACCUUGAACUGUUGAUCCCCUGUCUCCACGUGCUGGGAUUACAGGUUUGCACCACACACACCACACUGAGCUUCACAUUAGGUUUUACCCUUCUUACAUAUCAAGAAACUGGGACUGGGACAGGACUUCCCGAGGCAAUAAAGCUAUUAAGUGGUGUACUAAUAAUGUAGUUCUCCUGUCUGCUUCCCAAGUCUAUGUCCUGGGUCUGGGCAUAUGUCACUGAUGACUUGAUGGGUCUCAAUUUACUGGCAGACUAUAUAUGUGACCCCAUUUUAUGUUUUCCAAUGCCUGCUUUCAAAUACGUGACUCCAGGUGCUUUGGAUGGCUCUUACAACCCUCGGUGCUCCCUUGUUUAGUAAAACUGACGAUGCUGUUACAAAUUCCUCUAGUCUAGUAGGGUUGUGGCCAGGGAAAGGAGACAUAGAUCUUCCCGAGGGGAAAGGUCCUUUGUGAGAUCUGACACUGUGAUCCCAGGCUGGCCUCGAACUUGUGAUCCUGACGGUUCAGCCUCCCAUGUGCUGGGAUUACAGAUGCUUAAGCAAUCUUGCCUGUACCAGCCUGUGGUCAGUUUUAAACUGGGUUUCUCCUCCUCGGUGACCACCUGCAGGAUGGCCCUGUGCUCCUCCACAUUGAGCCUCGGUGAUGCCCGAGGUCCCUUUUCCACAUUCUGAAGGCAGUGGGGCAGGUGGCAAAGGUGUUCUGGUUUUGAGCCACACAGUCCACUCCGAUCCUCGAGGUGCUUCACGUUCAGAUAGCUCUAGUCCACUAGGGGGCACCAGACUCCAGGUUCGUGCGCCCUGCAACCCCAGAGAGCAUUUGCAAAGCUCACUCAAGAAUCCUCCCCAAAGCAGACCUCAAGGUUCCUGGGAGCGCGUCUCUGUAGUUCUGCCGGAGUCGGGGCGGGGAGCGGGACGCCAGCGUGCCCUUCCGGUUAGCCUCCCUCCCGCCCCAGCCGCGCCCCGAGCCGCUACCUUCGCGCUCUUCCACACACACCACGUGGUUUGGCAGCGCCAAACAGCUGCGCACGCCUCUGUUCUCCUCCGCCAUUCGCCCACUCUCCGGAUGAAGAAGCAACCUCUCACCAGGAGCACAACCAUCUCCUCGCCCUGUCAGCUGUUGUUGCAAAAGGGCGAGGUCUGCAAAAGUGUCAGCUGAGGUUGCAAAAGGGCGAGGCUAAGUCUUGGACCAGAAGUGGCCCGAUACAGAACUCUUGGCACUUUUUCCACUGGAAGUGAGAGUAGGAGAAUGAAAUGCAGAACUCUCAGCCCCUUCUCCAGCACCAUGUCUGCGUGUGUGCUGCCAUGCUUCCCGCCAUGAACUGACCACUCCUAAGUAUUUGUCACAAUUGGACUUUCUUUUUGGAUCCCUUAUGGCCUCUAUCAGGAAAAUCUUUCAGACCUUCUAGGUCUGGUAGCCACAGGCCUAUGCUGUCUUGUGUAACAACUGAAGAUAUAAUGUUGUCCUAUACAAUAGUCAAAGACCUAUGACCUCUGCCCCCCAAAGAAGCCAUCAAGACCACAGGAGCCUACAAGGAGGACUUCUGAUGGCCAUGCUAGUAGAGGAUGUGAUAUACCACGUCAGGAUUUCUGAUUGCAGUGAGUGUCAAGAGACGAUGGCACAAGACUAGAAAGGGGCCAACUUUAAGGUUCCUCUCAUAGCCCAAUGUCAGACAGCUAAUGAACUUCUGAAACACACGGUAGAAGAAACGGCUGGACAUGGCUUUGCAAAAUAGCACUGCCUACCAGGACUCCUCUAUUUCAGCCAAUUUCUUGCCUCUGUAUACUCUCUAGCUUGGAGACUGCUGGCAUUUUCGGAGGUUUUAGAGCACAUAGUGAAAGCCAGACUCCACACUUGACAGGCUGCAUUCUAGCCAAGCCAAGCUGUCAUUGCCGAGAGGAAGAGUCAAGGCCUCAUAGAAUGGGAUGACUGAGUCGAUGGCUUUCAACUUCCAGCUCAGUGUGGAGGAGUGUGGGAGAGAAGGGAUGCUCCAGUGGACCAAGGUUCAAAGAUAGUUUAAGCCGCCCGAGACCCUGCCUUGACAAACGCACAAACAGAACCGCAAACAACAGCUAACAAGUCCGAAGAAGCUUCAUGGGCACCAAGGGCCUCACCCUGAUACUCCCUGUGCAUACCCUCCAGGACAGAGAUGAAGAGAAGACCACGCUGCUGAUAGCACAGGCCUAGCCUCUGUGCAUACUGAGGCAAGAACGGGGAAUAUACACAUAAGAAGAGACGCCCCGGUCUCCUGAGUGCUAGGAUUACAGACAUGGAUGGGCCACUCACAGUCCCCUUGAGGGAAGUUCAAUCUCAAAUAUGAGUCAAGAAAACCAUGUUUUAAACAAGCACCAGGGCUCAGUUUGUAAAGUGCUCGCUAUGCAAACACAAGGACUUGAGUUCAAACCCCAGAACCUCCGUGAAAAAGUUCAGAACCCCAGCCCAUGGAACGCUGCCACCUACAGUUAAGGUGGGACGCCCUACUCAACUGGCAUAAACUAGAGAAUCCUCCAUCAGCCCGCCCAAAGAUUUGUCUCCUACAUGAUUCUGGAUUGCGUCAACUUGGCAGCCAAGAUGAACUAUCACAGAAAUUGUAUUUAUUUAUUUUUAUAAAGAUGCUUGAUGUCUGUCUUUUGCUGUUUUGUUGCGAGACAAGGUUUCUCUGUGUAGCCCUGGCUGUCCUGCAACUCACUCUGUAGACCAGGCUGGCCUUGAACUCAGAGAUCCUCCUGCCUCUGCCUCUUGAGUGCUAGGAUUAAAGGUAUGUACCACCAUGCCCAGCUUAUUUUUUCUCUUUAUUUUUAUUGGGGUGGAGGAGACGGAGUCUCUCUAUGUAGCCUUGACUGACCUUGAACUCAUCCUUUGGGCCAGGCUGGCUUUGAACUCAUAGAGAUUCCCUUCUUUUGUCUAUAGAGUUCUAGAAUUAAAGACAGGUAUCACCGUACCUGGCCUCUGAUUUUAUUUUUAAUAUUUUAUUUAUUUUAUUUUUGUGUAUGGGUGUUUUGCCUGCAUGCAAAUAUGUGUACAAUGUAUGUGCAGUGCCCACGGAGGCUGAAAGAGGGUGGCAGAAUUCCUGGGAGUGGAGUUAUAGUGCUUCCAUAUGGGUGCUGGGAAUCAAACCUGGGUCCCAUGGAAGAGAUUUUAUCCACCAAACCAUCUUUCUAGUCCCUUAUUUUACUUUGUAUAAUUCAAUUGUGUGGUCCUUGAGCAUCAACUUUCUUUUUACAACAGUUACUUGACAAACUUUUCUUUCAAAUAAACUUUAGUUAGCUCAGGCCAAAUAGUCAGAAAAAUGUAAACCAGAGAAGAAUAAGGGUUACUCUGUGUAAACAGGUUGUUACUGGCUAGAUAGGCAGACUCUUGAUUAACACUUUUUGUGAUCUUCCUAGGCUGGCCACAGCCCUAAGUUGUGCACAGGUUAGUAGCAGCACAGGCUUCUACUUCAUCAUCUGCACAGUGCAAAGGCAGACCAGCUGAUCUCCAGCUUCCUUCCCAGCUCUAAAAUGCCAGAAGUCGAUUGUAUUGCAGGUCCACCCUUCUCUGUAUUAGAAGACUCAAAAUAACCUACCUAGAGUUUUCCUUGAGAGUAAUGGUUUUACUUUAAUAAUUAUAGAUAGGAAUAGUGUAGAAAAUGUUUCAGUUUUUUUUCUUUCCCCUUAGGAAACAUUUUGUGGGUAAAUAUUCACCAGGUAGAUAAAGCCCAGAAUAGCCAUAAAUUGACAACCUCUUGGGGGAAUACAAGGGUUAAGGAAUUGAGAGUUGGUUCCGGAAAGCAGAGAAUAUUCAGUGCAAGCCGCAUUUGUCUCUGCCUCCCCAGAUAUCUAGAAUGUGUCUGUUGGGAACAAGAGUCAUUUCCAGUUACUGUAUUCAGUGCUAUCAGAAGUGAUAACUCUUAGGCAAUUUGUGACAUGAAAUGAGAGUGUUCCUAGGGCUGACUAUUCCCAUUCAUGCUAAUUUGAGGUGGAUGCACAUUGUGGUCCAUAGGUAGCACUUUGAGGAUCAGAGUACUUUAAUAGUCGUGCUGAUGAAAUGAGGUUUUUAAAAUGCAAAUUAUUUGCACAAUGAACUCCCUUUUGGCUAAAGAGGUAGUGCACUUUCUGGACAUUGCCCAACAGAUUAUAAAUGUAUCAUUAAAAAUGGUUCAACUACACUUUCUUGAUAAAACACUCUCUAGCCUAGGACACUUUGUGACCACUCCCCUAGCAGUUUCUCAAGAGAGUGACAGCUUUGACGGGGGACUUGGGCUCUGAAGGUGCACAGGGGGGUCACUUCAGCUGCUUGACGAUCUCAUUCCCUUUCUGUGACUCUGCUUUCCUGUCUUAGUGCAUUUUCUGUUGCUAUGACAAAACACCCAAAUCUAGGUAAAUUAGAAAGAAUGGAAGUUUAAUCUGCCUACACUUCUGGAGGCUGGAAAGUCCAAGAACGUGGUGCUGGCAUCGAUUCAGCAUCUGGUGUGCUGUCAGAAGACUGUGGAAGGUGAAAGGAUAGUGGAGAUGUGUGCCUGAGGAAGAGGCAAAACGUGGACCAUAACAGCUCACUCUCCGGGUAACUAAUGCAGUUCUUCAAAAAUGAGAUCUCACUCCCGUCAGAAUCAAUCCAGAGGACUGACCGGCAGAUAUGGACUCACACACACAACCUGGCUAGGUAGUUUGCCCUGGGUGGGUGGGAAGAAGCUAAGGGCCAGCACUGGCACUUUGUGGCACCUGGCAUUCGGGCGCCAUUAUGGUGAGCAUAUGAAGGGGAGGGAGAGAGAGAGGCAGAGAGGUUCAUGUCCUGUGGAGAGAGGUGAAUCUGAGGAACAGGCUGAUGUGGGAGGCCCAAUUGCCAUCUGGGGCCCUAUCUGGGUCCGUGAUCCUGCCGCAGCUGUGGUCUGUGUUGAUGUCCAUGGCUCCUGUUACCACUGAAGGCUGUGAAGAUGCCCGUUGCUUGGGCCUCCACAUGUGGGCACAUUGGUGCCCAAGGGCCAUGCCACAGCAGGGGCCAUCCUGAUUUGAGUGGCCUGGGCUACCACUUGGGGCCAUGGAGAUGUCCAGGUUUGAGCUGUGGCCCUACCACAGCCAGGAUUUGUGUUGAUAUCCAAGGUGCCUGUUGCCAUCGAGGAUUAGCUGGGUGCCCAGGGUCUGGGUCCCCACCUGGGGCCAUUUUGGUGUCCAAGGGCCAUCCUGCAGCCAGGGUGAUGCCAAUCUGAGUGGCCUGUGCUGCUAACUGGGACCAUGGUGGCAUCUGGACCUAGGCUGCUGCUGAGGACCAUGUCUGGGUCUGUGGUCCUACUGUAGCUGUGGUCUGUGUUGAUGUCCAUGGCCUGUGUUACCACCAAAGGCUGCACAGAUGUCCCUGCUCUGGGCUACCACCUGUGGCCAUGUUGUUGACCAAGGGAUAUGCCAUAACCGGGGCCAUGCCAAUCUGAGUGGACUGCACUGCCACCUGUGGCCAGGGUGUCAACCAGGCCUGAGCUGCUGCUGGGGGCCACGUCUGGGUCUAUGGUCCUGCUGCAGCCAGGGUCUGUGUCGAUGUCAAUGGUUCUUGUUACCACUGAAGGUUGUGUAGAUGUCCGGGAUAUGGGCCAACACUGGAGGCCAUAUUGAUCUCUGAGGGUCAUCCUGCCACGGAGGUCAUACAGAUUGGGGUGGACAGCAUUGCCACCUAGGAUGAUGGUGGUGUCUGGGCCCAGGCUAUAGCCAGGGGCCAUGUCUGGGUCCUCAGGCCCUACUGCAGCCAGCAUCUGUGCUAAUAUCCAUGGCUUCUGGUCCUAUUGAAGGCCAAGCAGAUGCAUGAGGUCUGGGAUGCCACCUGGGGUCAUGUUGUUGUUCUAGGGCCAUCUUGUAACUAGGGUGAUGCAAAUCUGAGAGGCCACCUGGGGCCAUGGUGACAUCAGGCCCAGGCUGCUGCUGAGAGCCAUGUCUGGGUCCAUAAUCCUACCACAGCUGAUAUGUUGAUGCCCAUGGCCUGUGUUCCCACAAAAGGCCACAAAGAUGCAUGACUUCCAGUCACCACCUGUGACCAUGUUGGGGUCCAAGGGACAUGCAGGUGCCGGGGCCAUGCCAAGCCCGGGCUGCUGCUGAGGGCCAUGUCUGGGUCCAUGGCCCCACCGCAGCCAGGGUCCAUGAGAUGUCCAUGGCUCAGGUUACCACUGAAGGCAGUAUAGAUGCCCGGGGUCUGGGACACCUGAGGCCAUGUUGGUGCCCGAAGAUCAUGCUCCCAUCAGGGCCAUGCAGCUCGGGUGGCCUGUGCUGCCACCUGGGGCCAUGCUGAUGUCCAGGCCCAAACUGUGGCUAGGGGCUACGUCUGGGUUUGUGGCCCUACUACAAACAGGGUCUGUGUCUCCUGUUGCCAUCAGGGGCCCUGCACUUUGUUGGAGUCUCUACUUUCACCUGGGACCUUGUUGGAUGGAGUCUGGGGACACACUGCUGCCGCUGGGCCCAUGCCAAUCUGAGAGGCAUACACUGCCAUCAGGGUCCAUGGUGACAUCCGUGGCCCAAGCUGCUGCUGCUGGCCAUGUCUGGGUCCAUGGUUUUGCCACAGCUGGGGUCUGUGUUGAUGUCUAUUGCCUGUGUUACCACAGGGGCCCUAUGAUCCAUGUGUUGAACCAUGAGUUGAAGUAUAGGGGCCUUGCUGAGCUGGCCCUACCACUCACUAGCCUGUGGAGAGCUGUGCCCCACCCCCUUCACCAGAGAGCUGACUCCAUCCCUGGCUGGCCCUGGGAUAAUGGACCCCUAUGACCCAAGUAUGAGAAAGCUGGCCUCUCCCCUACUAGGAGAAUUGGCCCCCCAUACUUGGGAAAGAUGGCACCAUCCCUCACCAUGGCUGUGAGAGAGCUGGCACCACCCUUCAUCUGCGGGGAGUGGUCCCAGUGGCUCCAACUGACCAACUCAGCAGCUACCCAGGUACAUACCCAGGGCUUUGAGCUGGCACACCCCAACACCUACCCCAUCUAUGACCUGCUGGAGUAUGUGAAGGGACUGGUCCUGAAGAGCCAUGGCCACAUGGUCUACACAACUCAGUGGAAUGUCCAGAGAAUUUCUGUGCGGGUCCAGUGUUGAUGGUGUGCUGGAGGUCAGAGGCCUUGAACCUGACCAACAACACAGUAUACAAUGAACAUUAGCAAGGAAAGCUGUGUGGACAAAAGGGUGUACUGCAUGAUACACAGCAGUUCCCAAUGCCACUAAGACGAAUGAAGAUGGAGAGACAAAGAUGGAGGAGCAAAGUGUUUGCUUCUUUGUUUUUCUCUUUGGUUUGGUUUGCUUGCUCGUUUUUUGAUUGAAAUUGAUAUUAUUUGUAUUUUAUUUUUUAUGCUUUUUCUUCUUUUUUAUCUUUAUCUUAUUUUUAUUAUUUAUUUGUUAGUUUUCUUUGGGGGGAACACUACAAGGGUGAGGGGUGGAUUUGGAGGAACUGGGAGGUGGAUGGGAUUGGGGUGAGUGAUGUAAAAUUCCCAAAGAAUCCAUAAAACGAAAGAAAACCUAUCACCUCUCAGCAUUUGUUAUACUGGGGACUACAUUUCAGCAUGAGUUUUGAAGGGGACAGGCUCCAGCAAAUCUAUAGCAUUCCCUUGGCAAGAUGGCAGGAAUCUGGAAGGAUAUUCUAAAUAUAUCUAAAGGCUGUAUUUAUGUGGUCACUGUGGAAUAUAUGUAUAUUUUCAAGGAAGGACUAAUGAAAAUAAUAUACCAGAGAGCCUAAGAUACAGUUAUAAAUUAGUACCAUCAUGCAUAUGAAGUGUGCAUAGUAGCUAAAUUCAGAAUUUAUUCCAGAAAACUGAAGGAAUUUAUCAUUCUCUGGAAUAUGGGGGAUGUCAUAGGCUAAAUAAUGUCCCUCCUCCAUCUUAAUCUAUUUUGUGUUGUUGUAAUAAAAUACAUUUGGCUGGUGUCUUAAGGUUUCUAUUGCUGUGAAGAGACACCAUGAACACAGCAACUCUUAUAAAGGAAAACAUUUAGUUGGGGCUGGCUUAUAGUUCAGAGGUUUAGUCCAUUAUCAUCAUGGUGGGAAGCAUGGCAGCAUGGAGGCAGACUGUAGUGGAAUAUUGGUUGAAGAUGUGUUAUAUUUGUUUAUGCUCUGGAACAUUUGUUUAAUGAUACAAAGAUGUGUUGCAUUCUUUUAUGUUGCGUUUGUUUGACUCUGUGAAGCUGUGUUGCUUUGCCUGAUAGGUCUAAUAAAGAGCUGAACAGUCAAUAGCUAGGCAGGGAAAGGAUGGGCAGGGCUGCCAGACAGAGAGAAUAAAUAGAAGGAGAAAUCUGGGAGGAAAGGAAGAAAGAGCAAGAGAUCAAGGAGAGGAGGACACUAGGGGCCAGCUACCCAGCCACACAGCCACACAGCCACACAGCCAGCCAUGGAGUAAGAGUGAAAGGAAGUUAUAGAGAAUAGAGAAAGAAAAAAGCCCAGAGGCAAAAGGUAGAUGGGAUAAUUUAAGUUAAGGAAAGCUGGCUAGAAAUAAGCCAAGCUAAGGUGGACAUUCAUAAGUAAGAAUAAGACUCCGUGUAUUUAUUUGGGAGCUGGGUGGUGGGCCCCCCAAAGACCAAGGAGCCAAAAGAGGAAAAUAAACACCAACUACACCAGACACGGUGCUGGAGAAGAAGCUGAGAGUUCUGUAUCUGGAUAGGCAGGCAGCAGGAAGAGAACUGACUUGAGCUUAUAUGAGACCUCAAAUUCUCCCCACUCCUACAGUGACACACUUCCUCCAACAAGGCCACACCUAUUCAAACACAUGAGCCUAUGGGGGCCAUACCUAUUCAAAUCACUACAGGUGGAUAAUGUAUAAAGAAUGGAAAUUUAUUCCUUAUAGUUCCCCAGAGACUGAAAAGUCCAAGAUUAAAGCCCUGGCAUCUGGUUACUGGUGAAAGCCUUUACAUUGAUCCUCCAUUACUGUGGACCUGAGACAAGGCUGAAAUGUCAUGACAGAGAAUAACAGCUCACAUCACGGCAUCUUGGAAGCAGAGAGUCUGAAUGAGGUACCCAAGAUGAGCUAUAGCACCUAAGACACAUCUCUAAUGAUCUGUAUCUUCCAUCCAGGGCUCACCUCCUGGUUACCAUGCUUUCCCAAUAAUGCCAUGUAGUGGGUAGCCAUUCCAGCUUUGAUCUGGAAGUUCCAACCCCCAUUGAGACUUCGGCAACUGUUAUGCCUACAAGGCGGGGCCAAGGGAGGCGCCUGGAGACCCGAGAUCUGGAUGAGCGAGCGCGCUCUCUGUUCUGGGACCCUGGACAGUGGAGGUGGGCCAAGCAGAGCUCCAGAGAACACCGCUGGACUGCGAUACACCUUCCCCAGGCCCCGCCUCCUAUCUAUCCCUUCAUUUGUAAGUUACGCCAUUAAAUAAAUCUCCUUUUAACUUCA